CCAGACUCCUACGGGAGGCAGCAGUGGGGAAUAUUGCACAAUGGGCGCAAGCCUGAUGCAGCCAUGCCGCGUCCCCCCCCCCCCCCCCCGGGUUGUAAAGUACUUUCAGCGGGGAGGAAGGUGUUGAGGUUAAUAACCUCAGCAAUUGACGUUACCCGCAGAAGAAGCACCGGCUAACUCCGUGCCAGCAGCCGCGGUAAUACGGAGGGUGCAAGCGUUAAUCGGAAUUACUGGGCGUAAAGCGCACGCAGGCGGUCUGUCAAGUCGGAUGUGAAAUCCCCGGGCUCAACCUGGGAACUGCAUUCGAAACUGGCAGGCUGGAGUCUUGUAGAGGGGGGGAGAAUUCCAGGUGUAGCGGUGAAAUGCGUAGAGAUCUGGAGGAAUACCGGUGGCGAAGGCGGCCCCCUGGACAAAGACUGACGCUCAGGUGCGAAAGCGUGGGGAGCAAACAGGAUUAGAUACCCGGGUAA
rnacentral:rRNA from 1 species